rnacentral:lncRNA from 1 species
UAUAAAAGAGGCACUUUUGUGUUACUGUUCACAAGCCAUUUGGGUCGGCUCACUCGCAAGCCAAAUUUUAGGCUGGCUCAUUUAGUGGGGGAGGCAUUGGAAAUACAAAUAUCAGUGUGUGUUUGUUGCCUUGGAAAUAUAGAUAUCUGAAAAUCUUCUUCUUCUAUGUUCGAUUUUCAUUUUCAUUCUCAUUUUCACUUGACAAAAGGAAACCCUAGCGCCGUUUCAUCUGUUCUCUUAGCAACAACCAUACUACCGUGUCCUUCAACGAUAUGUUCUGAUACAAAUCAUUCACCCUUCGCCUGAAUCUGCGAAGAAGCGAGUUUUCUACCAAUCUUUGUUAUUUUUCUCAACUUUAUUUAAGGUAUGUUGUUAUUGUUUCUAUCUAUACAUGAAAAUUGAGUUGGGUUCCUCUUUGUUUACUGUCAUCUAGAUGAAAAGUUUCAAAUUUUGUUCGAUCUUCGCUUUUAAUGCUUUCACGAGGAUUAGAAGAGGUUGUUGUGGGUAUAUUGGGGAUUUUUUGGCCGAUUUGGGAGUUUUUACCCUUAAUUUUCCUUUUUUAACUCGAUUGUGAUUUUUCCAUUUGAGUUUCACUAGGUUGAUUUUGAUUGAACUUCACUUAUGUAAGCAGGAGCAAUGUUGGGCGAUGCUUUUCUUCACCAAUUGCCACAUGCUUUUGGUACUGUUGACACGCUAAAAGUGCAGCCCAAUUCGAAUAGCUCAAAGAAUGAAGCCCAACUGGGCAAUUCAGGAUAAAGGCCCAAAUAGGGUUAUUAAUGAAUGCAGUGGAAGCCCACGAACGUGGUAAUACCAUCGUCCAAAUUUGUAAGACGCCCAAGAUCUGAGCGAAUGAAGUGCCUUACAGUCGCCCAGAGUUAUGACCCUGUUCUCGCCCAAUCUUCAAAUCGCCCAGGAUCUUAGCAAACAUAAGAUAUUAUGGUUAUCCAAAAGUACAGUUAUCGAAGCAGUUAUUGGGUAAUCUUAUCACGUUCCAAGAUUCAAGGAGUUCAGUUGAAAACGGUUGAACGACAAAGAGUAGUGACAGCAUUUAGAGACUAAAGUUCCACGAUAAGUUGGCCACCAUGAAGAAAGUGUGCAGUUAUAAAACAAUUAAGCAGUUUCUAAACGGUUGAUCACAAAGAGAGCAUCAAGUGUAUAUAAAAGGAAGAAAAGACAUAGAGUAAAAGACCCUGAAUUAAACACUCUCAAACAGAGAAUAUGUAAUUUCAAUUCCUUAGUUUAGACUUAAAACAUUUCUUUUCAGUACUUGCGUCCCUUGGAGACAUUCUGUUUAAAGUUCCAAUUGUAAAGUCAUCACCAAUAAAACAUCCCUUUUUAGGACUUUGUCUCAAGAGAUUUGUUCCUUACAAAAUCGUCUGAUCCAUUUUUAAUUGUUAGCAACUACCCGCGCGAAACAGGUAUAUAUGCAAAACAAGCUAAUGCCCAUAUUUUGUAAUUAAUUGAUGCUAAAAGUUCUGCUGUUUUCCUCACUUGUGAACUUAAAGCUUUUUUUUUUUUUUAGUUGUUUAAUCUAAGCCAGUGUUCUAAUUCCAUUUAUUGGCAUAAAUAAAGUUUUGGUCAGUGAAUAGCUGUGCUGAAUGGAAGACUAAAAGAAAAAAUAGAAAAAUAUUAGGAAUGAAGUCGAAAUAGAGUUUUUUUCCUCUUUUUCUGGUUCGGAUAAAUAGAUAGUACCUGUGUGUCCCACAAAAUGUGUGAAUAAAAAGUGGUUUGACCGAUUAUAAAUUUAUAAACAUUAGCCAAACAUGGGCUAACACUUGUGCAAUGGGGGGUAUUGAAUUUUGAGACAAAUAAAUCACAUUCGAUUGCUGAAUGUAUUAAAUAUCACCUUGACAAUACCUUUUAAUGAACUAAUUCUUUUCCAUAUGGCAUAAUAAACUUUGCACAAUAUUGAAUAUUUUGUUGAUUCUAUAUACCCAGAAAUGUUAUGUUCCCAUGGCAAAAAAUAAAAUGCCCAUUAAAUAUUAUGUAAUAUUUAUAUUUCUUUCUUUUCUUUGGUGAUGUGAAGCAGAGAUGCAGGGAGAAUGGAUACUACACCAACUUUAAUAAAUUUUGAUUUGAAUAUGUUUACAGACCAUCACUUGUUUGUGAGCAACAGUUAUUACAUGAGAUAUGAAAAUUAUGUGAAAGGAAACAAGAUAAUUUUUACUCUAAGAAGCUCAUGCUUUUGAUUGCUUUCUUCUUUACGUUCUCUUGUGAAUACGUAGUAUCACAAGACUUUACAAUAUUUUAAUUCUGAGCAACUUGAUAAAAAGUUGACGCAGAUUAUAUUAAUCAUUGACCACAAGUAGAAUGUUUCCUUGUGGAAAAGUUAGUAUGAGUUUGUGAUCUCAGUUUUUAGCAGUCAUGUAUAAUACAUAUUUUUUCUGCAGGUUUACGAGUGUGUGUUCAUAUGUAGACCCCGGGUACCAAUUGAAUUAAGAUGUUAUGUUAACAUAGAUUUGUCAUAUGUUUUUUUAUAUAGCAUGAUGGGACAUCAGCUGGUGAAACUGUUAAGUUAAUAAAGUUGUGCCUUGGCGAGAAGAUAUCAUUUUCUUUUCCUUUCUGGUCUCUGCUACCAGCUUGAUUUCCCAAUCUAAAGAAGCUACUUGAUUUUGAAAAAUAUAAUUCACUUUAUUUUACUUUGCGUUCAUACCUUUUAUUGUUUUUAUUUUAUUCCUGCAGGUGGUGAGCACUCCCAUUCACAUGAUCACCAUGAUGAGAAUGCUCAUGGUCACAUACAUGUUGGAGAGUCGCAUUCACAUUCCUUGAAAGAUCUCUCUGUUGGAUUGUCAGUCUUGUGUAAGUAUAAUUAUGUGAGUUACAUGCUUUCCAUCUUCCCUAUCUCCCCACUGCCCUCCAGAAAAUAUUUUUUUAGCAUGUAUAGAAGCACAACUGUUGGUUUAUAUUGUCAUUAACCAUUCCUAUUACUAUAUUUGAUAGAUGUUCAGUAUAAUGUUGUUGAAGGCCAGGUUCUUAUUACUAGAGAAGGCUGUGAUGGAACAUGUGAAAAGAACACGAUAUUUGUUCUUUGUGGAAAUUUUGUAUAUCAUUCACCCGUUUUAUUCCUUUUACCAUAAGCAUUGUUCUUGCUCCAUAAUCACGGCAUAGUAAAACUAUGGCAAGUAUAUCAUGAUUGUGAAACAUAGGGCUAUCAUGGUUGUGGUGGACUAUCAUUUAAGGCUUAAGCUGGGUGGAGUGUGGUUUCAAAUGCUUAAUGUAUCUAAGUUUUGGGCUUCUCGAAAGAAAUAAGGAUUGAAGUUUAGACUGUUCGUAUAAGGAGCUUCAAACAUUUUAGGAGCUCAAUAUUAUGGAAUUAGGCUUUGAAAGGCUCACGUCCGUUGUUUGGAUAUUCUCGUGAACUUCAAGCAAUUGCAAAGACAUCCAUCAGGCCCAUGCUUGACAAUUUUUGAAAGAUAAAAUUAUCAUUGACCUGGGAAAAUCUUAAAUCAGGCAUACGGCACAUGAGACUACUUAAAUUAGUUUCAGAACAUCAUAAUGAUCAUCUGGCUGCCUCAUUAAGGUCCGUAUCCAAUAAACUAAAAGCAAAAGAGCCCUAGUUUGAGAGAGAGGAAGAAGAAUACAGAAUACGAGAAAGGAAGACAAAUCUAAUGCAGAUGUACACUACAUCGCUGAUCCAUAACUUAGAAAAUUUAUGGGCAUAGCAAACUUCAUGUUUCUGAUCAGAUAAUCACCUGAAGUUUAUAAAGCCUCUUGCACCUUUAUUUAUAAACUUAUUCACAAAGCUGUAGCUACUCAGGAAUCAGGAUGUACCAGUUUUAUUUCUACUAGGGUAUGUCGUUCUUCUACAUCAUCUUCUAUUAAAUAUCUAAAAAAAAAAAAAAAAAAAAAAAAAAGGAAUUUCUUUCUAAGAUCCCAACCGAGCAAGUUUUUACUAUUAGCUUUAUGUUCGAAGAGCUAAAAGGUUAUGAGCUAAGCCCAUGUAUGUUUAUGUGUGUUCCCAUAGUUCAACGAAUGCAGGCAUGUGGUU